UACGUAGGCGGAAAAUUAAGUCAGUAGUGAAAUCCUGCAGCUUAACUGUAGAACUGUCAUUGAUACUGUUAUUCUUGAGUAUAGUUGAGGUGGGCGGAAUGUGUAAUGUAGCGGUGAAAUGCAUAGAUAUUACACAGAACACCGAUUGCGAAGGCAGCUCACUAAACUAUUACUGACGCUCAGGCACGAAAGCGUGGGGAGCGAACAGGAUUAGAUACCCUGGUAGUCC
rnacentral:rRNA from 1 species